UGCAAUCAACAGUUGGUGAUUGACUGCUUGUCCUGUGUGUGCCUGUAGAAGGGGAUCCCUCCUGUUGUUUCCCUGUGGAUGGACUCAGAAUGAGGGCCCCUCGUUCAUGCGGGGUGAGUCAAUACCCCUCUCCACAGACGGCACCUCACCGCUACGAAGCACCACCUAUGCUACAGGAAGGACCCGCCCACUUCUACAGAGAGCAGGAGUGGUCACAUGACAAUGGUCUUGGCUCACGUUACCACAACCACUUCCAUCGGCCCCCUGCGCCCCCCCCCCCCCCUCAAUGACAUGCACCAGCCUCAUCGGUUCACCGGCUAUCCAGGGCACCAGAACGUUAAUGAUUUUGGUGGACAGCCUCCCUUCAACCCCCGCACCCCCAGGUCCUACACUCCCCCGGUUCAAUGGGCAGGGGAACCUAAGGACAUGACAUGGAGGCACCACGCCCGUCAGGCCAACGCAAGGGUUCAUCCCUACUACACACGCACUCCCCAGGCCACGCACACACACAAGGAUGUAAGGUAUAAUCACUGACAUCAUUGACCAGACCAAGCCCAGACAAAAUGUUUGAAAUUAUUUAUAGAACACUGAGAUAAAGAAGAUAAUCCGCU